rnacentral:rRNA from 1 species
ACCUUUUGUAUAAUGGGUCAGCGACUUAUAUUCUGUAGCAAGGUUAACCGAAUAGGGGAGCCGAAGGGAAACCGAGUCUUAACUGGGCGUUAAGUUGCAGGGUAUAGACCCGAAACCCGGUGAUCUAGCCAUGGGCAGGUUGAAGGUUGGGUAACACUAACUGGAGGACCGAACCGACUAAUGUUGAAAAAUUAGCGGAUGACUUGUGGCUGGGGGUGAAAGGCCAAUCAAACCGGGAGAUAGCUGGUUCUCCCCGAAAGCUAUUUAGGUAGCGCCUCGUGAAUUCAUCUCCGGGGGUAGAGCACUGUUUCGGCAAGGGGGUCAUCCCGACUUACCAACCCGAUGCAAACUGCGAAUACCGGAGAAUGUUAUCACGGGAGACACACGGCGGGUGCUAACGUCCGUCGUGAAGAGGGAAACAACCCAGACCGCCAGCUAAGGUCCCAAAGUCAUGGUUAAGUGGGAAACGAUGUGGGAAGGCCCAGACAGCCAGGAUGUUGGCUUAGAAGCAGCCAUCAUUUAAAGAAAGCGUAAUAGCUCACUGGUCGAGUCGGCCUGCGCGGAAGAUGUAACGGGGCUAAACCAUGCACCGAAGCUGCGGCAGCGACGCUUAUGCGUUGUUGGGUAGGGGAGCGUUCUGUAAGCCUGUGAAGGUGUGCUGUGAGGUAUGCUGGAGGUAUCAGAAGUGCGAAUGCUGACAUAAGUAACGAUAAAGCGGGUGAAAAGCCCGCUCGCCGGAAGACCAAGGGUUCCUGUCCAACGUUAAUCGGGGCAGGGUGAGUCGACCCCUAAGGCGAGGCCGAAAGGCGUAGUCGAUGGGAAACAGGUUAAUAUUCCUGUACUUGGUGUUACUGCGAAGGGGGGACGGAGAAGGCUAUGUUGGCCGGGCGACGGUUGUCCCGGUUUAAGCGUGUAGGCUGGUUUUCCAGGCAAAUCCGGAAAAUCAAGGCCGAGGCGUGAUGACGAGGCACUACGGUGCUGAAGCAACAAAUGCCCUGCUUCCAGGAAAAGCCUCUAAGCAUCAGGUAA